rnacentral:rRNA from 1 species
GACGAACGCUGGCGGCGUGCCUAAUACAUGCAAGUAGAACGCUGAAGAGAGGAGCUUGCUCUUCUUGGAUGAGUUGCGAACGGGUGAGUAACGCGUAGGUAACCUGCCUGGUAGCGGGGGAUAACUAUUGGAAACGAUAGCUAAUACCGCAUAAUAUUGACUAUUGCAUGAUAGUUGAUUAAAAGGUGCAAUUGCACCACUACCAGAUGGACCUGCGUUGUAUUAGCUAGUUGGUGGGGUAACGGCUCACCAAGGCGACGAUACAUAGCCGACCUGAGAGGGUGAUCGGCCACACUGGGACUGAGACACGGCCCAGACUCCUACGGGAGGCAGCAGUAGGGAAUCUUCGGCAAUGGACGGAAGUCUGACCGAGCAACGCCGCGUGAGUGAAGAAGGUUUUCGGAUCGUAAAGCUCUGUUGUAAGAGAAGAACGAGUGUGAGAGUGGAAAAGUUCACACUGGGACGGU